rnacentral:rRNA from 1 species
AAUGAACGCUGGCGGCGUGGAUAAGACAUGCAAGUCGAACGAAGAGAGAUUUAGUUUACUAAUGAUCUCUUAGUGGCGGACGGGUUAGUAACGCGUGAGCAACUUGCCUCAAAGAGGGGGAUAGUCCUGGGAAACUGGGUUUAAUACCGCAUGUGCUCUUCGGAGUAAAGCUGGCUUCGGCUGGUGCUUUGAGAUAGGCUCGCGUCCUAUCAGCUAGUUGGUGAGGUAACGGCUCACCAAGGCGACGACGGGUAGUUGGUCUGAGAGGACGAUCAGCAACACUGGAACUGAGACACGGUCCAGACACCUACGGGUGGCAGCAGUCGAGAAUCAUUCACAAUGGGGGCAACCCUGAUGGUGCAACGCCGCGUGGAGGAUGAAGGCCCUAGGGUCGUAAACUCCUGUCAUAUGAGAGUAAGGCAUAUUAGUUAAUAGCUGGUAUGUUUGAUAGUAUCAUAAGAGGAAGGGACGGCUAACUUCGUGCCAGCCGCCGCCGUAACAC